rnacentral:rRNA from 1 species
UACGUAGGCAGCGAGCGUUGUUCGGAGUUACUGGGCGUAAAGGGUGUGUAGGCGGUUGUUUAAGUUUGGUGUGAAAUCUCCCGGCUCAACCGGGAGGGUGCGCCGAAUACUGAGUGGCUAGAGUGCGGGAGAGGAAAGUGGAAUUCCUGGUGUAGCGGUGAAAUGCGUAGAUAUCAGGAGGAACACCGGUGGCGAAGGCGGCUCUCUGGACCGAGACUGACGCUGAGGCGCGAAAGCGUGGGGAGCAAACAGG